rnacentral:rRNA from 1 species
GCUUAACACAUGCAAGUCGAGGGGCAUCAGGAAGAAAGCUUGCUUUCUUUGCUGGCGACCGGCGCACGGGUGAGUAACACGUAUCCAACCUGCCCUUUACUCGGGGAUAGCCUUUCGAAAGAAAGAUUAAUACCCGAUAGCAUAAUGAUUCCGCAUGGUUUCAUUAUUAAAGGAUUCCGGUAAAGGAUGGGGAUGCGUUCCAUUAGGUUGUUGGUGAGGUAACGGCCCACCAAGCCUUCGAUGGAUAGGGGUUCUGAGAGGAAGGUCCCCCACAUUGGAACUGAGACACGGUCCAAACUCCUACGGGAGGCAGCAGUGAGGAAUAUUGGUCAAUGGGCGCUAGCCUGAACCAGCCAAGUAGCGUGAAGGAUGAAGGCUCUAUGGGUCGUAAACUUCUUUUAUAUAAGAAUAAAGUGCAGUAUGUAUACUGUUUUGUAUGUAUUAUAUGAAUAAGGAUCGGCUAACUCCGUGCCAGCAGCCGCGGUAAUACGGAGGAUCCGAGCGUUAUCCGGAUUUAUUGGGUUUAAAGGGAGCGUAGGUGGACUGGUAAGUCAGUUGUGAAAGUUUGCGGCUCAACCGUAAAAUUGCAGUUGAUACUGUCAGUCUUGAGUACAGUAGAGGUGGGCGGAAUUCGUGGUGUAGCGGUGAAAUGCUUAGAUAUCACGAAGAACUCCGAUUGCGAAGGCAGCUCACUGGACUGCAACUGACACUGAUGCUCGAAAGUGUGGGUAUCAAACAGGAUUAGAUACCCUGGUAGUCCACACAGUAAACGAUGAAUACUCGCUGUUUGCGAUAUACAGUAAGCGGCCAAGCGAAAGCAUUAAGUAUUCCACCUGGGGAGUACGCCGGCAACGGUGAAACUCAAAGGAAUUGACGGGGGCCCGCACAAGCGGAGGAACAUGUGGUUUAAUUCGAUGAUACGCGAGGAACCUUACCCGGGCUUAAAUUGCAGUGGAAUGAUGUGGAAACAUGUCAGUGAGCAAUCACCGCUGUGAAGGUGCUGCAUGGUUGUCGUCAGCUCGUGCCGUGAGGUGUCGGCUUAAGUGCCAUAACGAGCGCAACCCUUAUCUUUAGUUACUAACAGGUUAUGCUGAGGACUCUGGAGAGACUGCCGUCGUAAGAUGUGAGGAAGGUGGGGAUGACGUCAAAUCAGCACGGCCCUUACGUCCGGGGCUACACACGUGUUACAAUGGGGGGUACAGAAGGCAGCUAGCGGGUGACCGUAUGCUAAUCCCAAAAGCCUCUCUCAGUUCGGAUCGAAGUCUGCAACCCGACUUCGUGAAGCUGGAUUCGCUAGUAAUCGCGCAUCAGCCACGGCGCGGUGAAUACGUUCCCGGGCCUUGUACACACCGCCCGUCAAGCCAUGAAAGCCGGGGGUACCUGAAGUACGUAACCGCAAGGAGCGUCCUAGGGUAAAACUGGUAAUUGGGGCUAAGUC